UUGGUGAACUGUGAAUUGCACAACUUCA
rnacentral:piRNA from 1 species